CAGAUAAUGAAGUGACGUGUCAACAGAACAGAGAUAAUGAAGUGAUGUGGCAACAGAACCGAGAUAAUGAAGUGACAUGUCAACAGAACAUAGAUAAUGAAGUGACGUGUCAACAGAACAGAGAUAAUGAAGUGACGUGUCAACAGAACAGAGAUAAUGGAGUGACGUGUCAACAGAACAUAGAUAAGGAAGUGACGUGUCAACAGAACAUAGAUAAUGAAGUGACGUGUCAACAGAACAGAGAUAAUGAAGUGUCGAGUCAAUACAACAGAGAUAAUGAAGUGAUGUGUCAAUAGAUCAGAGAUAAUGAGAUGUGGCAACAGAACAGAGAUAAUGAAUUGACUUGUCAACAGAACAGAGAUAAUGAAGUGAUGUGUCAAUAGAUCAGAGAUAAUGAGAUGUGGCAACAGAACAGAGAUAAUGAAGUGUCGAAUCAAUAGAACAGAGAUAACGAAGUGAUGUCAACAGAACAGAUAAUGAAAUGUGGCAACAGAACAGAGAUAAUGAAGUGUCGAAUCAAUAGAACAGAGAUAACGAAGUGAUGUCAACAGAACAGAUAAUGAAGUGACGUGUCAACAGAACAGAGAUAAUGAAGUGAUGUGGCAACAGAACAGAGAUAAUGAAGUGA
ensembl:lncRNA